rnacentral:rRNA from 1 species
AUGCAUGGUUACAUAAAGGGCCCUGCUGCUUCCUCCAGGAAUUUGGUCGUCUUGGUCCUUCACGCAAGAAUGCUAUCUGGGUACGUUACCAAAGCAGGACUGUAUACCGAGACAUGUACAAGGAGUACCGUGUCGCCACCCCCGUCAAGGGGAUGUACAGAGAUGGCUUCCCGCCACUGUGCCAGAUCCCCCUGCAUCCAGAUCACCAAGACUGCCACUGUCCACUUCAGCAUCUGCAAGCGUGAUAACACUAAGCAGUUUCACAAGUCAGACAUCACGUUCCGCUGGUCUACCAGAAGGUCAGGCAACCAACCAGAUUCCUGCAGGGUCCCAGCAGAGGAGAGCAAGUUCCAUCCAUCCCAAGCCCUGGAGCAGGCGACGUGA